UCCAGCUUGGGGAGGCUUAAAGGGGACGCCAACCCGGGGGGGCUGGUGGCCCACGGCAAGGGGGUGCCGCGAGGGGAGGCUGCGGGGCACGGGGGCUGUGCCAAUGGAGGAGGAGGACGGAGGACAUUGGGGUGCUGGAGGCACAGGAGGGUUGCCUGGAGAGCUGUACCCCUCAGCAGGGUCCUGGUGCCCAGCCCCACACAGCCCUUGUCCCCACCGCCGCACACACGGGCGCCUGUGGCUCCAACACACAACCUAGGUAGGGUUUUAUUGUGCAGACAGAGGAACACUCCUGGAUGAGGGACACGAAGUCCACGGCUUGCAGGAGAGGCAGGGAAAGGAGCAGCAGCAGGAGCCACGAGGUGUUCUGGAUCAAGAGGCUGAAGCCGGCGCAUUUCUCCAGUUUGUCUGUGAGGAGAAGGAAUGGGGAGGGAGAGAAGAGAGGCAAUGAAAUCCCUCGGGAGUUCUAAUGAUAAUUCACAGAAAUCUACCCAUAAGAUGUCAGCCUAGCAGGGUAAUGGACACCAAAACAUGGUAACAAAAUAUGCAUUUAGGAACGCCAAGGAUGGAUAAACACCUCAUGACAUCACAAUCUGCAGCUGCAGGGGAAAACAUUAAAGAAAUACAGGACAAGUGCAAACGCAUGAGAGAAGAAGGUGUAGGAAAAAUUGUAAACCAGAGGCUGAAAAAGCAUUUUAUUGAGGGAAAAGAAGAUAGAGGAAGAAAAAAAAAAAAAAAAGUCACAGCUGCUACUCCUGGGGAGAAAAAAAGAGAAGGAUUUCGUGAAUACUGACAUAAAGAGGCUUUCUCCAGUAACAAUAAAACUGCUGUAAAAAACAAAAAACAGGUUGAGAGACAAGACCACCACAGCCUUUCUAAAGAUGGGCCUUUCUCCAGCCGCUCGGAGCGCCGCCGGCCCGCACACCCCUCACGAACGGCGACGCCGACGGCUCUGAGGGCGCUGAGGGGAGCAGCGGGAGGCGCCCCCUUGCGGCGCGGGAACAGCGGCGCGGCGGCGGCGCAGCCCCGCCCCGUCUCCCUCAGGGCGCCGCCAUGGCCUGUCGGUGACGGUCCCCGCACUCCAGCGGCACUCUAGGCUCCUGCUUCUCCCUCAGUGGCAUUCGGGACAAUCGCUUUCACUCCGUGUCUCUCAGCAAAAGCUUUCACCGAAACUCGGGGCACCUGCCUGUCCCUCAGCGACGCUUGGAACACCCAUUUUCCUUCUCCAUGUCCCUCAGGGCACCCAAGCGACACUCGGGACACCCAUUCUGCCCCUUCAUGUCCUUCAGCAAAAGCCCGCUGCGAAGCUUGGGGCACCUGCCUGUCCCUCAGCGACGCUUGGAACACCCAUUUUCCUUCUCCAUGUCCCUCAGGGCACCCAAGCGACACUCGGGACACCCAUUCUGCCCCUUCAUGUCCUUCAGCAAAAGCCCGCUGCGAAGCUUGGGGCACCUGCCUGUCCCUCAGCGACGCUUGGAACACCCAUUUUCCUUCUCCAUGUCCCUCAGGGCAGCCAGGCGACACUCAGGACACCCACUCUGCCCCUCCGUGUCCCUCAGCGAAAGCCCUCAGAGAAACUUGGGGCACCUGCUCAGCGAAAGGCGUCACUCGGGACACCCACUCUGCCCCUCCGUGUCCCUCAGCGAAAGCCCUCAGAGAAACUCAGGGCACCUGCCUGUCCCUCAGUGACAUUCGGGACACCCAAUUUUCCUCACAGCGCCCCAGGGACACUCCAGGAACCUUCCUCUGCCUCUCUGUCCCUCAGUGUCAAUGGGGCACCCACAUUCCCCGUCAGUGACCCCUGAAGCCCCUCAAUGACAGGGUACCCCACUGGCCCUGGUGACCCCCACAGACCCCUCCUCUGCUUUUCUCUUCAGUGCCAAUAAUCUCCAGCACUGCUAAACCCGAAGCCUCUGAGUAAUUUCAAGUCCUAAAACAAAUGCAUAAGAUUAUUUUUAAAAAAAACCCAAAAUUCCUAUUGAAGUUCAUAUGCUGUCUUAAAACCCUUUGGAACAAGUAUGUUCCUAAGCUUUUUGUCGCAAGGAUUGACUUAUUUACUAUGGUUAUUUACACAUGAACAUAAACUGUAUUUAUAUAGUCCUUUACUGUUGGAAGAGUGGAAGGUGUUUGUGUCAGUCAGUUAUGACAUGAUUUUUCAUUUUAUUCUUUCCAGGGAAUAGAAUUUUUUAUGCCAUGGUUUGUUUUGGUUUUUUUUUUUUUAAUACUGUGAAUCUGUUUUGAAGAGAUUCAGAUUUCAGUUAAAAAACAUUGGGUAAGACACUCCAAAAAGCAAUAUUUUUUAACUUGAAGGACUUACUGAUAGUACUUACUUAUUUCUAAGGUUACACGUUAGUAAAUUUAAAAAAAAAAAACCUUAAAGCAAGUUUUUUGUAACCAAAGGAAAACCAGAAAAUUCUGUUGGUGUCAAUCAGAGGCAGGGAUAAAAAGAAAUAGUAAUAAUAAGAAAGGCAGGGAAUGAAUUAGAUGAAAACCAGAGGAAAACAUUGCUAUUAUAAUCAUGCUACACACACGGGGGAAGGCUCUUCUUGCAAAACACACACUUAAGAAAGCAGGGAUUUACUAAGCACCACAAACAACAUAACCUGCUGUUUACUACAAGAAGAGUAAACAAACACUAGGAACCAACCCACAGCUUCUUUUCAUGCAAUUCCUCUCUGUGCUGGCAGGCCAGGGCUGCAUUUCUGAAUAUAUAUUGGAAAUAAAUCACAUGAAGCUCCACUGAGAUGAAGCAAAGCGUUGUAAAUAUGAAUUAAUCAAGUGUGAAGGGCCAACAAAGAUGGUCCAUGUGUCCUCACGCAAAGCAAUGAUUUGAUGGAGCCAGCCUCUUCCUCUUAAUAAUACAUGGAUUGCUUUUGCUUGGGAGAGAUGCAAGGGAAUCAGAAUUCCAGAAUGGUUUUGAGUUGGAAGGGACAUUCUACUCGUGGGGCGUCUCCAUCCAGGGAAUUCCGAGUGGAAGCAGCAAAAGGAGUGAUGAGGAGGAGAAGCGAAGGCAGGGUGUUGAUCCUGCUGGGAACCACGAGAGCGCAGCAUUGCCCUUCGCUGGGCUGGUGCUCGCAGGUGCAGCGGGCACAGGGAGAAUUCCUUGUGUGAACAUCUGACCCUGUCUGGACGGCUGUAGACCUCAGUGCUGUGCUUCCUCAGUGCUUCCUGCCUGGCUGCAGCUCAAACUACCUUGACCUACAAAACAAUUUCCAGCCCCUUGCUAAACACAACAAAGAACUGUCCAUUGAUCACUUAAAUGUUUUCCAGUCCCCCGUCUAGCCAAACUCUCUCUUUGGCACCACUUACCACUCAGUAAACCUCAGCCAGCAGGAAAAAAAAAUUGUUUCCUUGUUUACAAAAUAAAAAGAAAAGAAUGAUUCUCUGA